AGAGCGAACGCUGGCGGCAGGCCUAAUACAUGCAAGUCGAGCGGGUCCUUCGGGAUUAGCGGCGGACGGGUGAGUAACGCGUGGGAACGUGCCCUUGGUACGGAACAACUGAGGGAAACUUCAGCUAAUACCGUAUGUGCCCUUCGGGGGAAAGAUUUAUCGCCAUUGGAGCGGCCCGCGUUGGAUUAGGUAGUUGGUGAGGUAAAAGGCUCACCAAGCCUACGAUCCAUAGCUGGUCUGAGAGGAUGACCAGCCACACUGGGACUGAGACACGGCCCAGACUCCUACGGGAGGCAGCAGUAGGGAAUCUUGCGCAAUGGGCGAAAGCCUGACGCAGCCAUGCCGCGUGAAUGAUGAAGGUCUUAGGAUUGUAAAAUUCUUUCACCGGGGACGAUAAUGACGGUACCCGGAGAAGAAGCCCCGGCUAACUUCGUG
rnacentral:rRNA from 1 species